UUUAAUUCUCAAAUUACCCUCUCACCUAAAGCCCUAAAAGUCACGAUCUGUUCCUCAUUUCUUCUACAACAACACAGCCUCCACGAUCUGUUCAUCAUCUUCUACAACAACGCAGCCUCUAGGAAGCUCUAAAUUUUCCUCAACUGCCCAUUAUUAACCAAUUCGCUAUUCACAGAAAUUAAGUCAGAUCGAAGAUUCUGAGAAUCUUAUGACACUGCAAUUGGAAAACUACCAUCACCCUUUACCAUCUACUUUGUAGUUAAAUGGAGAGUUGGGAUAUUAGCAAUGUGGUAUCUCCUUAUUUAAGUGAUUUGUUAGAUGACGAAGAUCAAGAACUAGAAGAGAUUUGGAGAGAGCAAGAUGAGAAGGAGCGGAUGGCUUUAUGUCAUAGAGCGCACAUUUGGCGUUUGGAAAGCAAGAUGGUCUAUUUUGAGAGACAUGCCAUACUAUCACAUUGACACACAAAGGGACAUCGUACUUGUUACUAUGGCCAUUCACAAUUAUAUUAGAAAGAAAUGCAAUGUGGAUGAUGCAUUCCAAACAGCCGAGAAUGAGAGUUAUAUUCCAUCGGUUGAUUCUAAUGAUAUUGGCACAACUUCAAGAGCUAACAAUGUAGAUGUCGAAGAUGUAGGAGAACAAAGUGAUGUCUAUUGGAUGGGGUUUCGUGAUAUGAUUGCUAGUGACAUUUCUAAUGCUUGAUGCUUGUAUUAUAUGAAUAUUUUCCACUUCGUGUAUUUAUAGUGGAGUGCUUUCGGUUGUAUUAACACUUUUAUUUUGUGUCAAAUUCUCCAUCUUUGAAAUAUGAAUAGUAUUACCCUUUUUUAAGUCAUGUUGAUCCUAACUUAUUAAAAAAAUUGUGCUCUUUAUAGUA